UACGUAGGGUGCAAGCGUUAAUCGGAAUUACUGGGCGUAAAGCGUGCGCAGGCGGUUCGCUAAGACAGAUGUGAAAUCCCCGGGCUUAACCUGGGAACUGCAUUUGUGACUGGCGGGCUAGAGUAUGGCGAGAGGGGGGUAGGAAUUCCACGUGUAGCAGUGAAAUGCGUAGAGAUGUGGAGGAAUACCGAUGGCGAAGGCAGCCCCCUGGGCCAAUACUGACGCUCAUGCACGAAAGCGUGGGGAGCAAACAGG
rnacentral:rRNA from 1 species